rnacentral:rRNA from 1 species
GACGAACUUUGGCGGCGUGCUUAACACAUGCAAGUCGAACGGUAAGGCUCCAGCUUGCUGGGGUACACGAGUGGCGAACGGGUGAGUAACACGUGGGUGACCUGCCCUGCACUUCGGGAUAAGCCUGGGAAACUGGGUCUAAUACCGGAUAGGACCGCACCGUGAGGGUGUGGUGGAAAGUUUUUUCGGUGUGGGAUGGGCCCGCGGCCUAUCAGCUUGUUGGUGGGGUAAUGGCCUACCAAGGCGGCGACGGGUAGCCGGCCUGAGAGGGUGGACGGCCACAUUGGGACUGAGACACGGCCCAGACUCCUACGGGAGGCAGCAGUGGGGAAUAUUGCACAAUGGGCGGAAGCCUGAUGCAGCGACGCCGCGUGGGGGAUGACGGCCUUCGGGUUGUAAACUCCUUUCACCAUCGACGAAGGGUUUCUGACGGUAGAUGGAGAAGAAGCACCGGCUAACUACGUGCCAGCAGCCGCGGUAAUACGUAGGGUGCGAGCGUUGUCCGGAAUUACUGGGCGUAAAGAGCUCGUAGGUGGUUUGUCGCGUCGUCUGUGAAAUUCCGGGGCUUAACUCCGGGCGUGCAGGCGAUACGGGCAUAACUUGAGUACUGUAGGGGGGACUGGAAUUCCUGGUGUAGCGGUGAAAUGCGCAGAUAUCAGGAGGAACACCGGUGGCGAAGGCGGGUCUCUGGGCAGUAACUGACGCUGAGGAGCGAAAGCAUGGGGAGCGAACAGGAUUAGAUACCCUGGUAGUCCAUGCCGUAAACGGUGGGCGCUAAGUGUGGGUUUCCUUCCACGGGAUCCGUGCCGUAGCUAACGCAUUAAGCGCCCCGCCUGGGGAGUACGGCCGCAAGGCUAAAACUCAAAGGAAUUGACGGGGGCCCGCACAAGCGGCGGAGCAUGUGGAUUAAUUCGAUGCAACGCGAAGAACCUUACCUGGGCUUGACAUAUACAGGAUCGCGCCAGAGAUGGUGUUUCCCUUGUGGCUUGUAUACAGGUGGUGCAUGGUUGUCGUCAGCUCGUGUCGUGAGAUGUUGGGUUAAGUCCCGCAACGAGCGCAACCCUUGUCUUAUGUUGCCAGCACGUUGUGGUGGGGACUCGUAAGAAACUGCCGGGGUUAACUCGGAGGAAGGUGGGGAUGACGUCAAAUCAUCAUGCCCCUUAUGUCCAGGGCUUCACACAUGCUACAAUGGUCGGUACAGUGGGUUGCCAGUCCGUGAGGGCGAGCUAAUCCCGCAAAGCCGGUCUCAGUUCGGAUCGGGGUCUGCAACUCGACCCCGUGAAGUCGGAGUCGCUAGUAAUCGCAGAUCAGCAACGCUGCGGUGAAUACGUUCCCGGGCCU